UACGUAGGGGGCUAGCGUUGUCCGGAAUCAUUGGGCGUAAAGCGCGCGUAGGCGGCCUGGUAAGUCCGCUGUGAAAGUCAAAGGCUCAACCUUUGAAAGCCGAUGGAUACUGUGAGGCUAGAGUCCGGAAGAGGCGAGUGGAAUUCCUGGUGUAGCGGUGGAAUGCGCAGAUAUCAGGAGGAACACCAAUAGCGAAGGCAGCUCGCUGGGACGGUACUGACGCUAAGGCGCGAAAGCGUGGGGAGCGAACAGG
rnacentral:rRNA from 1 species